rnacentral:rRNA from 1 species
CAGUCGCCGCGGUAAUACGAAGGUCCCGAGCGUUGUUCGGAAUCACUGGGCGUAAAGGGAGCGUAGGCGGCGUGGUAAGUCAGAUGUGAAAUCCCGGGGCUCAACCCCGGAACUGCACCCGAUACUGCCAUGCUAGAGGAUUGGAGAGGUAGCUGGAAUUCUUGGUGUAGCAGUGAAAUGCGUGGAGAUCAAGAGGAACACUCGUGGCGAAAGCGAGCUACUGGACAAUAACUGACGCUGAGGCUCGAAGGCCAGGGUAGCGAAAGGGAUUAGAUACCCCAGUAGUCCCUGUCUCUUAUAA